rnacentral:rRNA from 1 species
CGCCUGUUUAUCAAAAACAUGGCCUUUUGUUUAUUAUUUAAGGUCUAGCCUGCCCACUGAGUAGUUAAAUGGCCGCGGUACACUGACCGUGCAAAGGUAGCAUAAUCAUUAGUUUUUUAAUUGAAAGCUGGAAUGAAUGGUUGGAUGAGAAAAUAACUGUCUCUACCUAAAUUUUAGAAUUUUAUUUUUAAGUAAAAAAGCUUAAAUUUUAUUAAAAGACGAGAAGACCCUAUAGAGUUUUAUAAAUUUUAUUAUUUGAAUUUUUAGUAUUAUCGUCUUGAAUAUAAAAAUUUAUUUGGUUGGGGAGAUCAAAAAAUUAAAUUAACUUUUUUUUCAUUUUUACACUUAUUAGUGAUUAUUUGAUCCAUUUUUUGUGAUUAUAAGAUAAAAUUACCUUAGGGAUAACAGCGUAA